CCUACGGGGGGGCAGCAGUGGGGAAUAUUGGACAAUGGGGGGAACCCUGAUCCAGCCAUGCCGCGUGUGUGAAGAAGGCCCUCGGGUUGUAAAGCACUUUCAGUGAGGAAGAACGCCUGGUGGUUAAUACCCAUCAGGAAAGACAUCACUCACAGAAGAAGCACCGGCUAACUCCGUGCCAGCAGCGGCGGUAAUACGGAGGGUGCGAGCGUUAAUCGGAAUUACUGGGCGUAAAGCGCGCGUAGGUGGCUUGAUAAGCCGGUUGUGAAAGCCCCGGGCUCAACCUGGGAACGGCAUCCGGAACUGUCAAGCUAGAGUGCAGGAGAGGAAGGUAGAAUUCCCGGUGUAGCGGUGAAAUGCGUAGAGAUCGGGAGGAAUACCAGUGGCGAAGGCGGCCUUCUGGACUGACACUGACACUGAGGUGCGAAAGCGUGGGUAGCAAACAGGAUUAGAUACCCGAGUAGUC
rnacentral:rRNA from 1 species